rnacentral:piRNA from 1 species
UAUGCCAAGAAGUCUGCAAAACAUUAGAAGA